rnacentral:misc_RNA from 1 species
GUUAGUCACGAGUCGUUGAUUCGUACACUUGUGCCUGUGCCUUAACUUGACACUUUGCAUUAUCAACGAUCUCGAUAAUUUCUCACCUGACUUUCGUACCGCGUUGGAAAAAUUGAACGAGUACGAUAUCCUGCGCUUAUUUCGGACCCUCUCUCGACCAACAAGAUAUUGGCACGGCGGCUGGUUUUUAGCACGACAUGGCACAACGCGUUCGAUGGUGUGAUGAUGCUAGGUCAUAACGCGCAACGAGGAAAUGGCAUAAAUUGGAUGAGGGUGAAGCACCGAGCGCUUCUCUCGCCUCUCUCUCUCCCUCUCUCUCUCGGUGGCUGUGCAAAAAUUGCGAUGUCGAAACGAUUGUUACUGACAUGCGCGGGUCCUGAACGAGCAUCGAUAGAAUUACAAGGAGCAUUAUAUACGGUGUAGAAAAAUGUAUACGAUCGAUUUUGUUUUCUUGGACGUUUUAAAAUUUUUUUUUUUUUUUUAUCAAACGUAAAAUUUCAUAGCUAGAAAUUUGUAAUGAAAUAAUAGUAAUAGUAAUAAUGAUAAAAAAAAAAAUUAUAAUAAUAAUUCAUUUCGUUGCGAUUACAUUCAAUUACGCAUACGCAUACGCACACGCACAUGUGUACACACAUUUUUCUAGCCAAAGUGCCGAUUUUCACGCACAUAAUACAUGAACAUCGCGACUAUUACGACGAUCAGCUUAAUCGUAGCUGCAUUAACUUUUUGGUACGUAAAAUUUCAAAUCGACACUACGAUAACGCCUCCUAUUUUGUACAAGAUUAUUUCAGGGUCGAAACGAUGAGUCGUUAUUGUAUCGGGUAUCUCAUUUUUAAGGCAUUGUUAUGGCCGUGUACCUAUAAUAUACAUAUAUAGGCAUAUACGCAUACAUAUUACACAAUAAAUUAGUCGCGUUUCUGUCUGUAUUUUUUUUUUUCUUUUUUUUUUUUUUGUUUUAUCCAAGUUUCUACCGUUUACGGUACAAUUUUUCUUCUCGAUCGCAAAGAAUUUCCGAAAUACGAACAACGUACACGGGCGAGGUUGAGUCGUAAAGCCACGUUGAUUUUUUUUUUUUUUAUUGAAAAAAAUGCGUCCCUGUCUUGUCAUUUAUUACCGUGGCAACUCAAUCACUGGCGUCAACUCGUCUAGUCAGAUCGAUCCGCAACUGUGCGUCCAGGUUCGUUACAGGUUCAUUUUUGCAGAAUGAUAAAAAUAAAAAAAAGCGGGUUUGCGUCCGACGAAUUUAUUUAUGUAACGUCGAUGCAUAAUUUAAUUAAGACACCAAUUUUAUUUAAAUGUCUAUUAUAACGAUAAACUUUAUUAUAUACUUGUAAAUAUAACACUAAAUUUUAAGUAAAUAUAAUACUCUUAUAUAUGCGUCUGCGGAUUUGGGGUAGAAUUCCGAUUUUUCUUUUCUUUCAUCAUCUUGUUUUUUUUUUAUAUCUUUAGCCUCGAUCGUUCUGGCCUGUUUCGAAAUAUCAAAUUCCUCGGAAUUCAGACCAGCAGAUCCACAGACUCUAAGUCGGACGUAUUCUUUCAAUAGUCCGCUUAGAAAAUAACACAACCAUAAUAUAUCUAACAAUUAACGCCGGACGGCUGAUUAUAUAG